UACGUAGGUGGCAAGCGUUACUCGGAAUCACUAGGCGUAAAGCGCAGGUAGGAGGUUUGGUAAGUCUGUUGUGAAAGCUCCCGGCUUAACUGGGAGAGGUCAACGGAAACCACCAGGCUAGAGUGUGGUAGAGGAAGGUGGAAUUCCCGGUGUAGCGGUGAAAUGCGUAGAUAUCGGGAGGAAUACCUAUGGCGAAAGCAGCCUUCUGGGCCAUCACUGACGCUGAGCUGCGAAAGCGAGGGGAGCAAACAGG
rnacentral:rRNA from 1 species